rnacentral:rRNA from 1 species
GUGUCAGCAGCCGCGGUAAUACAGAGGUCCCAAGCGUUGUUCGGAUUCACUGGGCGUAAAGGGUGCGUAGGUGGUUAGGUAAGUCUGAUGUGAAAUCUCUGGGCUCAACCCAGAAACUGCAUUGGAUACUAUCUAGCUUGAGGAGUGGAGGGGGGACUGGAAUACUUGGUGUAGCAGUGAAAUGCGUAGAUAUCAAGUGGAACACCAGUGGCGAAGGCGAGUCCCUGGACACUUCCUGACACUGAGGCACGAAAGCUAGGGGAGCAAACAGGAUUAGAAACCCCCGUAGUCC